AGCUACGGCCCUCGAGCAAGGACUUAUAGCGCGUAUGAUCCAAUCCUUAACUCUAAGGAUGUCAAGUUCAAUCCGUUCCUUAACUAUAAGAAAAUUAUGCACAAAUGACCCUUAGCUCUAAGGUUGUAUGCCAUUGUGUCUCAAUCUCAAGUUCUUUGCAUUCUAUGUUUUCAAUCAUGUCAUUACACUAACUCUAGUAUUCUUUAUGUCACACUUGAUGCUAAAUCUAGCUUUUGUUCUUUGAUGCCACACUUUUGAUGCUAACUCUAGCUUUCAUCGUUCUUUAUGCCACACUUGUUCUCUUUGAUGCCACACACCAACUCUAGUGUUAUCUUCGC
rnacentral:lncRNA from 1 species